CACGUAGGGUGCGAGCGUUGUCCGGAAUUAUUGGGCGUAAAGAGCUCGUAGGCGGUGUGUCGCGUCGGCCGUGAAAACCUGGGGCUCAACUCUGGGCGUGCGGUCGAUACGGGCAUCACUUGAGUUCGGCAGGGGAGACUGGAAUUCCUGGUGUAGCGGUGAAAUGCGCAGAUAUCAGGAAGAACACCGAUGGCGAAGGCAGGUCUCUGGGCCAUUACUGACACUGAGAAGCGAAAGCAUGGGGAGCGAACAGG
rnacentral:rRNA from 1 species